UCGACCUUAGCUCAAACGGGAGAGUAAAAGGGUUGUGCCCUUUGGUUGUCGGUUCGAAUCCGACAGGUCGAA